GCUGCUCUGCAAGCUCCCACCUUGUGGAGUGUACUUUGAUCUUCAAUAAAUCUUUGCUUUCAUUGCUUCAUUCUUUCAUUGCUUUGCUGUGCAUUCUGUCCAAUUAUUUGUUCAAAAUGCCAAGAACCUGGACAAUUUGCAGUCAAGACCCUCCACCGCAUCAAAAUUUGGCAUCCUGGAAGCAGUGAAGAGGUGGUAGGGAAGUCCAGUAGUAAGAAGUUCAUGGCUUGGCAUGAGAAGUCAGUGGUGUCGGCAAGGAUUAGGCUCAGUUAUUUUUGCUCUGCCACAUAUACAUCAGCAAGAUCGCCUGCUGGCCCAUGAUGGUGUCUAGAGCCUCAGUCAUCCCACUUACACUUGGACCAGUAAAAGGAAGAAACUAAGAAAAGGACAAGGAUAUGAACUUCCAAUUAUAUCAUUGGACUUGACUACUCCAUUUCUUUCCACAUUUAAAAAUCCACUCUCUCACCAAGUGAGUGGUUGGAGCAAGACAGUGUCUCGAGAUUGAAACAGAACUCGAUGGAGCUGGAAGUUACAGUUCUGAGAUCAUCAGGAAUCAGAGUCGAAUCAUUAGUGAUUAUAUGCCACACAAGAAAUCCUCUCUGGUUUAGAAAUCUUAAAAUAAGAGGCUGUUAUAUACAUUUGUCGAGAUAAAAUUAUUGAGUAGUAUUUAUAAGACUUUGAUUUCAUAAACUUAAUAGACUACAUAUGCAACUUAGGAUAUAAUUUCAAAAAUCUAGCCACAGCACAUUUGUGUGUUUCAACAAAGUAAUGGCUUUUUUGGUAUUAGAAUAAAUACAGUUACCUUGUGAGAAACUGAUUGAUCUAACUACUUGUGAACAGGGGAAAGAAACGUUGUUAAUCAGAGGCCAUCUGUUGCAAAUGUGAUCCGGCCAGAAUUUUGUUUAACAUGUGGAAUGCUUAUAAAUUAUCUGAGUUUGCACAUUUACCUUUAUUGCGGAGUCUCCCAGCAUACUCAUUAGAUCAGCCGAAUGAGGUACACAGCAAACUCAUGUAACUAUCUAAAAUAAAAUUCCCCACAUUUAGGUGUUUGGAAUUAGCUAUGAAAUAAUAAAGUGUCUCUCAAUAAGAUAAAAUAUUUUUAUAACACUUUCUUAAAAACAUGGCAGCCUUUAAAGAAAGGGAGAGUUCAGUUUUUAAAUUAAAGUAGGUGUUAAAUUGACCUAAGGUACCUUGCAGACAUUUAGCCCAGCUUCCUCCCUGGCAGAGGAAGAAUUACCACCUAGAGAAAAGCACUAACCUGGUAAAAACAGAGCCCAGUCUUCGAACUUGCAGGCCAAUUUCCUCUGCAUAUACCAUGCUACCUAAUGAUCGAGAUAUUCUGGAGUGAUUCUGAAUCCUGACCUCUAGAGUUGAGAGCAAUCAGUGGACAAGUAAGACAUGGCACUAUGGUGCAAAGAACCCCCACUUCAUCACAUACAAAAUUCAUCACAUUGGGCAACACACAAUAAUGGGACUUGAAGUAAGCUAAGAAUACAUUAUCUUCUUCAGAGAGAGUUAAAAUUUAAUUUGAAUUAAGUAGAAAAUUAGAGACAGUGCAAAAGCAUUCAAAAUUAGCAUUUGCUUAUCUUAACUCUUAAAAUUAAGUAAUUUUAUUAGUUCAGCUAUUUUAAAAUAUCAAUAAUCCAGCUAAAAGUUUUACUAGCUGUUAGCAGACAAAAACUAAGGGAGCUUUAAAAAAACACUGUCUGCUUUUAUAAUUAUUAUCCAUUAUUGAAAUCUUCCAGAGGAGAGAUGAGGGCUGGAGAGUAGGCUGCGUUUAGGAAAUAUUACAGAGGCAGAAAUGAGGAUUUCAGGGCAGCUGCAUGCAGCACCUGAAGAUCCCCUGAGGCAGCUUGUCUAAGUUGACUGCUAUUUAGAGUGCAGCCCAGAGAGUUCCAGAUUUCAGGUUGCUACCCAUCCGUGGGAUGGGAAACCAAUUCAAUGGGUCACAACCAGUAUUUUAAAAUGAAAAAGACUAGAAAAUAGGAAAUAAAUCACAAAUACUAAGGGACAAGGUGUUUUGAGAAACGUUUGGUUCAGUUGUACAUACGUACGUGUAAUGUUUAUAUGUGUUUCUUACAGUGAGAAACCAUCAGCAAAGUUUGAAAAACGUGUAUAGACAUUAACUUAAGUAGAAAUGAAGGGUGGAAGGAUAAGGAGUCUAAUUAAAUUGAAAUUUGUCUUUGAGAUGCCAGGGAGACAUUCAAGUGGAUUUAUUUUCCCUUUUAUACUGGAUGCCAAGUGCAGAAAAUGGAGUUAAUUCUCCUCCUUGGUUCAUAGCACAUAAUCAUUACUGUCCUUAGGAGAAUUUUUAAGUUAUGUUUCAUUUCUAAUUGGCAAAUAAUAAUUGAAUAAUUUUAUGAGACAAUAUGUGAUGUUUUGAUGUAUUGUUGUGUGUACAUUGUCAAUAUGCUAUGCAAUGAAACACCAGAAUUUAUUCCUUCUAACUGAAACUUUAUACCAAUUGACCAUUUCCCCCUUCCCCAUCCACUUACCUACCCCACAGCCUCUGGUAACCACAAUUCUAUUUUCUAUUUCCAAGAGUUUGACUUUUUUAGACUCCACUUAUAAGUAAGAUCAUACAGUAUUUGUUUCUCUGUGCUUGACUUAUUUCACUUAACAUAAAUGUUAAGUGCAAAUGACAUAUUUUCCUGUUUCUUUUAAGGCUGAAUAGUAUUCCAUUAUGUAUAUAUUGCCACUUUUAAAAAAAUCCAUUGAUUUUUAUCUAUUGAUAGACACAGGUUGUUGCCAUGAAUUGGCUAUUGUGAAUAGUGCUGCAAUGAACUUCGGAGUAUCGACAUCACUUCAACAUACUGAUUUGAAUUCUUUUGGGUAUAUAUUUUGUAGCAGAAUUGUUGGAUCACAUGGUAAUUCUAUUUUUUGUUAUUUAAUAAAGAUUCAUGCUGUUUCCCAAAAUGGCUGCACUAAAUUACAAUACCACCAAGAGAGCAUAACUGUGCCCAUUUCUCAGCAUCCUCACCAACACUAGCCAUCUUUCAUCUUUUUGAUAAUUGCCAAACUAACAGGUGUGAGGUGAUAUAACUUUGUGACUUUAAUUUGCUUUUCUCUGAUGAUUAGAGAUGUUGAACAUUUUCAUAUAACUAUUGGCAAUUUGUAUGUCUUCUUUUAAGAAAUGUCUAUUUGAGUUCUUUGCCCAUUUUUAAUAGGAUUGUUUUGGAUUAGUUUGAGUUUCUUGUAUAUUUUGUAAAAGAGCCCAUUAUCUGAUGUAUAAUUUUUAUAUUUUUCUUAAUCUGUGCAUUUUCUCUUGACACAAUUGUGUCCUUUUGUGCAGAAGCUUUUUAGUUUGAUGGAAUCAUGUUUGUCUAUUUAUGCUUUUGUUGCCUGUGCUUUUGGGAUUACACACAAGAAAUUAUUGUCCAGACCAAUACCAUGGAGAUUUCCCCCUGUGCUUUCUUCUAGUAUCUGUAGUAUAGAUUCAGGAAUUGCAUUUAAAUAUUUAAUCCAUUUUCCUUCUGUACAUGUAUAUCUGUUUUUCCCAACACCAUUUUUAAAGACACUGUGCAUUGUAUAUUAUUGGCACCUUUGUCAAAAAUCAACUGACUCUGAUGUCUGGGUUUAUUUCCGGGCUAUCCAUCCUAUUCCACUGGUCAAUGUGUCUGUCUGUUUUUAUGCCAGUACCGUAAUGUUUUGAUUACUAUAGCUUUGUAAUAUAUUUUGCAGUCCAUUUGUGUGAUGUCUCAGCUUUGUUCUUUGGUCAAGAUUCAGAAGAUUUAACCAAAAGAGAAAAGAAGAAUUGAAACCAAUACACAAAUGUUAUAGUCAGC
rnacentral:lncRNA from 1 species